rnacentral:misc_RNA from 1 species
AAGUCGUAACAAGGUAACCGUAGGUGAACCUGCGGUUGGAUUAUCACAAUACUUGUUAACCAACAUCAACCAAAUGCGAACCGUAACGUCCCUACUCACUCGCAAGAGUGCGGUAGACAAUACCCCCAAUCUAGUAGUCACUAGGCGUCUUCGACGUCGCACUUCACUGGGCGACUGAGCUGACGUUCUGGUGGCGAACUAUUCACCACUUUUAACCCUAUAACUAAUAACUUGUCUAAUCUUCAUAACCUUAUGCGACUCGCUCUUCAUUGAGUGUGGUCAACUAAGAUUUACGAAAUAUUGAACAACUCUUAGCAAUGGAUAUCUUGGGUCAU